rnacentral:rRNA from 1 species
AGGAAUAUUGGUCAAUGGACGAGAGUCUGAACCAGCCAAGUAGCGUGAAGGAUGACUGCCCUAUGGGUUGUAAACUUCUUUUAUAUGGGAAUAAAACAGGGUAUGCAUACCCUCUUGUAUGUACCAUAUGAAUAAGGCUCGGCUAACUCCGUUCCAGCGGCCGCGGUAAUACGGAGGAUCCGAGCGUUAUCCGGAUUUAUUGGGUUUAAAGGGUGCGUAGGCGGUCCGGAAAGUCAGCGGUAAAAGCCCGGGGCUAAACCCCGGCGAGCCGUUGAAACUGUCGGACUAGAGACGGCGAGAAGUACGCGGAAUGCGCGGUGUAGCGGUGAAAUGCAUAGAUAUCGCGCAGAACUCCGAUUGCGAAGGCAGCGUACCGGCGCCGGCCUGACGCUGAGGCACGAAAGCGUGGGUAUCGAACAG